GACUAAAGCUGCGUGUUUGUAAGAAACAAAUCCAUCAUUAAGAUGUUUUUUAACUGCAAACCGUUGCUUCAGGCUAAAAUACGACUCCAUAAU